rnacentral:rRNA from 1 species
CCACUUACAGAUGGACCCGCGGCGCAUUAGCUAGUUGGUGAGGUAACGGCUCACCAAGGCAACGAUGCGUAGCCGACUGAGAGGGUGAUCGGCCACACUGGGACUGAGACACGGCCCAGACUCUACGGGAGGCAGCAGUAGGGAAUCUUCCGCAAUGGACGAAAGUCUGACGGAGCAACGCCGCGUGAGUGAUGAAGGUUUUCGGAUCGUAAAGCUCUGUUGUUAGGGAAGAACAAGUACCGUUCGAAUAGGGCGGUACCUUGACGGUACCUAACCAGAAAGCCACGGCUAACUACGUGCCAGCAGCCGCGGUAAUACGUAGGUGGCAAGCGUUGUCCGGAAUUAUUGGGCGUAAAGGGCUCGCAGGCGGUUUCUUAAGUCUGAUGUGAAAGCCCCCGGCUCAACCGGGGAGGGUCAUUGGAAACUGGGGAACUUGAGUGCAGAAGAGGAGAGUGGAAUUCCACGUGUAGCGGUGAAAUGCGUAGAGAUGUGGAGGAACACCAGUGGCGAAGGCGACUCUCUGGUCUGUAACUGACGCUGAGGAGCGAAAGCGUGGGGAGCGAACAGGAUUAGAUACCCUGGUAGUCCACGCCGUAAACGAUGAGUGCUAAGUGUUAGGGGGUUUCCGCCCCUUAGUGCUGCAGCUAACGCAUUAAGCACUCCGCCUGGGGAGUACGGUCGCAAGACUGAAACUCAAAGGAAUUGACGGGGGCCCGCACAAGCGGUGGAGCAUGUGGUUUAAUUCGAAGCAACGCGAAGAACCUUACCAGGUCUUGACAUCCUCUGACAAUCCUAGAGAUAGGACGUCCCCUUCGGGGGCAGAGUGACAGGUGGUGCAUGGUGUC